rnacentral:rRNA from 1 species
UACGGAGGAUGCAAGCGUUAUCCGGAAUGAUUGGGCGUAAAGCGUCCGCAGGUGGCUGUGUAAGUCUGCUGUUAAAGAGUCUAGCUCAACUAGAUAAGAGCAGUGGAAACUACAUGGCUAGAGUGCGUUCGGGGCAGAGGGAAUUCCUGGUGUAGCGGUGAAAUGCGUAGAGAUCAGGAAGAACACCGGUGGCGAAAGCGCUCUGCUAGGCCGCAACUGACACUCAUGGACGAAAGCUAGGGGAGCGAAUGGG